UACGGAGGGGGCUAGCGUUGUUCGGAAUUACUGGGCGUAAAGCGCACGUAGGCGGCUUUGUAAGUUAGAGGUGAAAGCCCGGGGCUCAACUCCGGAAUUGCCUUUAAGACUGCAUCGCUAGAAUUGUGGAGAGGUAAGUGGAAUUCCGAGUGUAGAGGUGAAAUUCGUAGAUAUUCGGAAGAACACCAGUGGCGAAGGCGACUUACUGGACACAGUA
rnacentral:rRNA from 1 species